rnacentral:rRNA from 1 species
CCUACGGGAGGCAGCAGUGGGGAAUAUUGCGCAAUGGGCGAAAGCCUGACGCAGCGACGCCGCGUGAGGGAUGAAGGUCUUCGGAUCGUAAACCUCUGUCAGCAGGGAAGAACGGUCACUGUGCUAAUCAGCAGUGAAUUGACGGUACCUGCAAAGGAAGCACCGGCUAACUCCGUGCCAGCAGCCGCGGUAAUACGGAGGUUGCGAGCGUUAAUCGGAAUUACUGGGCGUAAAGCGCUCGUAGGCGGUAUGUCAAGUCAAGGGUGAAAUCCCCGCGCUCAACGUGGGAACUGCCUUUGAAACUGGAAAACUGGAGUGUGUGAGAGGAUAGUGGAAUUCCAGGUGUAGGAGUGAAAGCCGUAGAUAUCUGGAGGAACAUCAGUGGCGAGGCGACUAUCUGGCACAUAACUGACGCUGAAGCACGAAAGCGUGGGUAUCGAGCAGGAUUAGAUACCCUUGGUC